rnacentral:rRNA from 1 species
UACAGAGGGGGCGAGCGUUGUUCGGAAUUACUGGGCGUAAAGGGCGCGUAGGCGGCCUUCUAAGUCGAACGUGAAAUCCCCGGGCUCAACCCGGGAACUGCGUCCGAUACUGGGAGGCUUGAAUCCGGGAGAGGGAUGUGGAAUUCCAGGUGUAGCGGUGAAAUGCGUAGAUAUCUGGAGGAACACCGGUGGCGAAGGCGGCGACCUGGUCCAAUAUUGACACUCAUACACGAAAGCGUGGGGAUCAAACAGG